UCCUCGAUGGUGUAUCGGUAACAUAUGAGCUUCUCAUGCAAAAUUUCCAAAGCUUUGCAUCGCUCGAGCGCGGGGUUCGAUUCCCCGUCGGGGAA